AGAGUUUGAUCCUGGCUCAGAACGAACGCUGGCGGCAUGCCUAACACAUGCAAGUCGAACGCUUCGGGGGGUUCGCCCUCCGGGGAGUGGCGCACGGGUGAGUAGCGCGUGGGAACCUGCCCUCUUGUGGGGGAUAACCGCGGGAAACUGCGGCUAAUACCGCAUAAGCCCCUGGGUGACUGGGGGGAAAGAUUUAUCGCGAGAGGAGGGGCCCGCGUCGGAUUAGCUUGUUGGUGGGGUAACGGCCUACCAAGGCGAUGAUCCGUAGUUGGUCUGAGAGGAUGAUCAGCCACACUGGGACUGAGACACGGCCCAGACUCCUACGGGAGGCAGCAGUGGGGAAUAUUGGACAAUGGGGGCAACCCUGAUCCAGCAAUGCCGCGUGAGUGAGGAAGGCCUUCGGGUUGUAAAGCUCUUUCGCACGCGACGAUGAUGACGGUAGCGUGAGAAGAAGCCCCGGCUAACUUCGUGCCAGCAGCCGCGGUAAU
rnacentral:rRNA from 1 species